rnacentral:piRNA from 1 species
UGCUUUUGUGGUUGCCUGAGCCUUAGCUUU